rnacentral:misc_RNA from 1 species
AAGUCGUAACAAGGUUUCCGUAGGUGAACCUGCGGAAGGAUCAUUAUCGAGAGACUGAGGUCUAACCGGCCCCAACUCUUCGCCCUUGUAGACCUUACCUUUGUUGCUUUGACGGGUCAUCGGGAGUAGACCUCCCGUCGUCGGAUGCCCAGGAGUCUCUGUUCGCAUCUGAGGAGCGCCCGUCAGAGACCCUGCAAACACUGUUAGCAGCGAUGUCCGAGCACUUGUAUUAUAAUCGGCAAAACUUUCAACAACGGAUCUCUUGGUUCUG